UACGGAGGGUGCGAGCGUUGUCCGGAAUCACUGGGCGUAAAGGGCGCGUAGGCGGCUCGUUAAGUGGCUGGUGAAAUCCCGGGGCUCAACUCCGGGGCUGCCGGUCAUACUGGCGAGCUGGAGCACGGUAGAGGCGGAUGGAAUUCCCGGUGUAGCGGUGGAAUGCGUAGAUAUCCGGAGGAACACCGGUGGCGAAGGCGGCUUCCUGGACCGACACUGACGCUGAGGCGCGAAAGCUAGGGGAGCAAACGGG
rnacentral:rRNA from 1 species